rnacentral:rRNA from 1 species
CAAAACCUGGUUGAUCCUGCCAGUAGUCAUAUGCUUGUCUUAAGGAUUAAGCCAUGCAUGUCUCAGUACAAACGAAUUUGUACAGUGAAACUGCGAAUGGCUCAUUACAACAGUUAUAGUUUAUUUGAUCGUGCGGUACUACGUGGAUAACCGUAGGAAAUCUAGAGCUAAUACAUGCACCAUCGUCCCAUGACA